AACGAACGCUGGCGGCAGGCCUAACACAUGCAAGUCGAGCGAAGCCUUCGGGCUUAGCGGCGGACGGGUGAGUAACGCGUGGGAACGUGCCCUUUGGUACGGAAUAGCCCCGGGAAACUGGGAGUAAUACCGUAUGUGGUCGAGAGACGAAAGAUUUAUCGCCAAAGGAUCGGCCCGCGUUGGAUUGGGUAGUUGGUGGGGUAAUGGCCUACCAAGCCGACGAUCCAUAGCUGGUUUGAGAGGAUGAUCAGCCACACUGGGACUGAGACACGGCCCAGACUCCUACGGGAGGCUGCAGUGGGGAAUCUUAGACAAUGGGGGAAACCCUGAUCUAGCCAUGCCGCGUGAUCGAUGAAGGCCUUAGGGUUGUAAAGAUCUUUCAGUGGGGAAGAUAAUGACUGUACCCACAGAAGAAGCCCCGGCUAACUCCGUGCCAGCCGCCGCAGUAACAC
rnacentral:rRNA from 1 species